rnacentral:rRNA from 1 species
ACCCCCUUCCAGUAUCCAGUAGUGGGUAUUCAGUUACUUACUAUUGUGUGUUGGUCGUUUACUGUGAGAAAAUUAGAGUGUUCAAAGCAGGCGUUUGCUUGAAUAGAUUAGCAUGGAAUAAUAAUUGAAGGCUUUCGUGUUCGAUUUGAUUGGUUUGUUCAUGGAAGCAAGGUUAAAAGGAACAGUUGGGGGUAUUCAUAUUCACUAGUUAGAGGUGAAAUUCUCGGAUUUAUGGAAGAUGAACAAGUGCGAAAGCAUUUACCAAGGAUGUUUUCAUUAAUCAAGAACGAAAGCUAGGGGAUCGAAGAGGAUUA